CACCUAAUAAUGAACCUUCUCAUCAUUGUCAAAGUUCAGCCCCUCGAUUCCCUUGAGAGCAGAUUCAUAGGUCUUCAUGUGCGUGGCAUUUCUGGCUGAUGACGAACGUCUGGGGUCUGCUGCAGAACCAAGAGGACUCCUUUGCCCACUUGAAAUUUUAUGCAUGUUUCCCGGGCUUGCAUCAGUUGUGCGAGACCGUUGGGGAUCAGCUUCACUUCCAACAAAUAUAUCACGACUGGUAGAAACGGUAGCAGCUUGUCUCGAGGAUCGACUUGAUCGCCCCAUAAAAGUAGAGCUUGGCAACAUGGGAUCCUUAUUAAGUGAAGAAUCAUUGGCAACUGGGCUCUUCUGCUUUGCAUAACCUCCGGUACUUAGGAUAGGUCCUGAAAAUCUACGCCGAGCAGAAUCUGUAGACUGCCCUGCCUGUCGUGCAUCUUCCCCACCUGUCUGUCUAUCCGCACUGGCAAUAGCAGGGGGCAUUCCAGAACUAGUUCCAAUUCCGGGGCCAAGGGCACGAGCUGGAGGAUUAGCCAGCUGUGAUUGCUGAUACUUCAAUAUUGUCCAGUC
rnacentral:misc_RNA from 1 species